GCAGCAACAACAGCAAUAACAAUAACUGUUAUAAGAUCUCUUUAUUUGAAAUAACUUCGAUUCGAAGCCAGUCAAAAAUGGUCCACCGACGCGACAGCAGCUUCCACAGCCGCAGCCUUGUUAGCCUCGGAAACCAAACUCGCAAAACGUGUACGUGUUCGUGUGUGUGAGUUGUAUCCAUGUCCGUGCAAGUAUCCAUGUGUGCGUUGCCAACAAAAUCAGACCAAGUGUGAAGUGGCAAAGUGUCCCAAUCUGUUCUUCCCGCUGCCUGGAGCUGCGACGAAAAUAAACAGUUAGCAUUUUAAUAGUUAUGCAAGCAAGCAAAAGAAUUCCUAUCGAUAUAUGAGAGUUUUUUAAAAUUGUAAAUGAAUAGAGAUAUAGAGAUAUAUAUUCCUAAAGCGUCGGACUAAAGCAAAAGCAUCAAAGCCAUGGGAACUAGCAUUAAAAAAGUUAAGCAAGAAAACGAAAUGGCUGCAUAGACGACGCACGUGCUUGUUGUAGUCCUUUGUUAAUUGCGACGAAUUGAAUCAUGCUAUAGACAGAGA